rnacentral:lncRNA from 1 species
GGUUUCAACUCUGGACCUCUGACCUUCUGCAUGCUGCAGCCAAAAAGAAAAAAGAAAAAAAUACUAAUAAAAACUUUUCCAGCUGGGAAUUGGAGAUUGGUACUUGUCAUCUGCCUCUACAAGGAUUGACUCAUGAGCAUCUGACCCUCAACACCUCCGGAAAGAGAAGUUCAUGGUGAUCAGAGUGAGACACUCUGCUCUGAGAAAACUGGCAGAACAGGUCUUCAGAUAUUUCCCGGAUGAGGCUUUAUGAGCACAAUUCUCGCAUCUCCUUGUAUCUAGAGAAGCAACUAAAAUCCUUCAGUGGUGACACCUGCUCCUUGUAACUAACAGAAACCUUCUGUAAAAAUGUGUGCUUGGUUGCAUGUAUCUCUCCCCUUCACCAAAAAACAUACGUAGACAUCCCCCUCCCCCUCCGGAGAUUUUCACAGCUAUCUGAAAUGCUGCCUUCCCUGAUUAUAGUGAUUUUGCCCCAAAUAAAACACUCACAACUCUCCUAACACUGUGAAUUUUAAGAAAACUUUUUGUGAGUCUUCUUAGGGCCAUUACACAUGGUAUAUAGAGGUUCCCAGGCUAGGGGUUGAAUCGGGGCUGUAGCUGCUGACCUACGCCACAGCAACGCGGGCUCCAAACCGUGUCUGCGACCUACACCACAGCUCAUGGCAACGCCAGAUCCUUAACCUACUGAGUAAGGCCAGGGAUUGCACCCGUGUCCUCAGGGAUGCUGGUUGGGAACACCACAUGGUGAAUUUUUUAAAGGAAAGAUACAACCAAAACUGAUAAGUCUUGAGUAUAUUAUAUUGAGUAUAUAAUUUUGAGUAUAUUAUUAAGAUAUAUGGGUGCACAUCAACCUAGAAGAGUUGAUUAUGGUUGUGUUUGUAGAGCUGUUACUGGUUUCAUCUCCAGAUUGGACUGGAAAUAGGUGAUUCUUGUUUUCAGACCUGUAUAGUUAUUCAACAGCUUAGUUACAGUGUAGGGUAUCUAUUUUUAAUUAUAUCUUUGAUGAGAAUGUAAAUAUGGGGGGAGGAAUUCUGAAAGACACACACUGUGCAAUUAACAGGGAAUGGCAUGACCAUUAAGGCUGGUGGCCAAAUCGGACUUUCCUCAUUUGCUGAGCACCCACUAUGUGCCAGAUACUGUUCCUCAGGCUGGAAAUACAGACACGAGAGAGACAAGAAAGACCCUGCUCACAUUCCAGUGGUGGAGACGGAAAUGCAACCGUGAUAAGAUACAAGCAUCUGGAUCCAUCAUGAUGCGUGCGUGCAGCACACUUAGGCAGGGAAGGGGAACAGGGCAUGGGGAGGGGGAGGGAUCCACACCUUCAGGUACUCUGUACAGCGGAAGCCUCACCCAACAGGGGACAUCAAGGCCUGAAGGAAGUGAUGAGGUGGGGUGAUCUGGGGGAUGAUCCUGUGAGGAUCACGUCCUGUGGGCCUCUUUCUCAUGUCACAGGGUUAAGUCAUUUGGACAGCGACACAUAGGUGUUCACCUUCCCGUUUUGGAGCAGGAGGUGCAGUGAUGUAUUUUGUCAGUAGGGAGCUGGUCAAUUUAGGGCCGGGAUUUACCUUGGUGAUUUACAUCAUAUGCAUAUACGAAGACCUUUGCCACUCUGAAUAAAUCGAGGCUCCAGCCGUGCAUACUAAGUGUGCGCUCCUACAAAAUGGAUCUUUUUGGAAGAAGAGUAUAGAUUGGUCCAAACAGAAUAUCUUAAGUGGCUCGGUCCAGUUUUGUUAAGUUGUUGACAGCUACGUGGGUGACAGUGCUGAACUAGACCCCAGACCCCAGCUGUCACUUGCCCCUUGUGCUGGGACACCCAUCCCUCAUUGGAAUGAAUCAGUUAGAAGUGGGAGCACGUUUCUGUGCCCGUGGCUAUAGGGUUAAGAGGUUAUUUAUUUCACUCAUCUCUGGGUCAGUAGUUUUGGUCAGCAGAAAGGCUGAUCAGUAUCUCUGAGCACCAGCCUAAAUCCCAGCAGAUCACAGUAUGAAGCGCCUAAAUGGUCACAGUGGCUUACAUCACAAUGGGGUGGCCAGUAUGAAAGUCCAGACCACUGUUUAGGCCUAGCCUUACUUCUCCUGAGGGUAGGCAGUGGCUGGCUGGGUUUCUUUGUAUAGAGCUAGAAAAAGACGGGUGUUUUUCUUUCUUUCUUUCUGUCACGCUGAAUUCUUCCGCAGGGAAAUUAAUUUGUGUCUGUGGCAAAGGUAGUCAACAAUUCUCUCCUUUUGCAGGUCCCAGUUUGUUAAGGAAAUCGAAGGGUGUGAUCAACAGCUCGUGCACUGCCGUGCUGCGAACCCAGAGUUCAGGCACUGACGUGGCGCUUCUGAUGGGUCCAAAAGUGAAACUGUCUGACAACCACAGAUUAACAGAAGGACGACAUACAAAUUUAUUUGAUGUUUUAUGUGACAUGGGAUCCUUUACAUGGAAAUGAAGACCUGAUGAAACAGACUUGGGUAUUUUAUGCUAGGUUUGAUAAAGAGUGGACAAUCACGGAAGACUAUGAUAGGUUAAGAAGUAUUAGGUAAUUGUAGUAAAUGGGGAUCAUCUUAACAAAAUCUAUUUUUUUUCAGAUUAUUGACAUCCUUUCUAAUUCAGAGAUAAAGUUGCUCCUUUCCUCCCAGUAUAGGGAGAGUGCCUGUCACAUGAGGGUUUUAUUACCUGUUUCAGGGGAGAAAGACAAGUGAGGGAGAAGGUCAAAGACACCAGUCUGUUUCUGCCUUUUCUCAAACUCCCUUCAGCUUAAAAUACUAAAUGUCAGUGUGCCAAAUGGUAAAUGUCCUGAACACCAUCAGUGUACUUUACUACAAUAAAAUAAGUGACAAAU